UACGUAGGGUGCAAGCGUUUGUCCGGAAUUAUUGGGCGUAAAGAGCUCGUAGGCGGUUCGUCGCGUCGGCUGUGAAAACCUGAGGCUCAACCUCAGGCCUGCAGUCGAUACGGGCGGACUUGAGUACUGCAGGGGAGACUGGAAUUCCUGGUGUAGCGGUGAAAUGCGCAGAUAUCAGGAGGAACACCGGUGGCGAAGGCGGUUCUCUGGGCAUGUCCUGACGCUGAGGAGCGAAAGUGUGGGGAGCGAACAGG
rnacentral:rRNA from 1 species